rnacentral:misc_RNA from 1 species
GAUGAAGAACGUAGCGAAAUGCGAUAAGUAAUGUGAAUUGCAGAAUUCAGUGAAUCAUCGAAUCUUUGAACGCACAUUGCGCCCGCCAGUAUUCUGGCGGGCAUGCCUGUUCGAGCGUCAUUACAACCCUCAGGCCCCCGGGCCUGGCGUUGGGGAUCGGCGAGGCGCCCCCCGCGGGCACGCGCCGUCCCCCAAAUACAGUGGCGGUCCCGCCGCAGCUUCCAUUGCGUAGUAGCUAACACCUCGCAACUGGAGAGCGGCGCGGCCAUGCCGUAAAACACCCAACUUCUGAAUGUUGACCUCGAGUCAGGUAGGAAUACCCGCUGAACUUAAGCAUAUCAAUAAGCGGAGGA